AAGCCUACUAUAAAUAGUUCGGCGGCACUCUUCCGACUCCUCUUGACCGCGUUGGCUGGCUUGCGAGUUGUUGUCGCUCAUAAUGGGUCGUACAUGUGAUGGGGUAAAAGAUACCCUGGAGAUGAUGCUGCCUUUGCUUUGUGACACGAGGUGCAGCCGCAGACCUCGGAUCAGCUCGGUUUCUCACAGACCUGACCUCCAGCAGUGAAGCAGCAACAUGAUGAAGGACAGAUUGCUGUGAAAGUGUCCCUUCAUGUGCCUCCAUGGGGUAACCUUGGCUGUUUGAUUGGCCCGGGUUUCUGCUGCAGUGAUUCCUCUCCUCGUCGUCCCUGGCUGUCCAACAGGUCACCAUUAUGGUGAGGUGGAUGAGGCAUGAUGGACUGGUGUGCAGACGGAUUGGUUUCUGCUGAAGUAAAGAGCCGCCCCAAGUCUCCGUCUUCAGAAGCGUUGAACACUCGAGAAAGCUGAGAACAACCUGUAGACGUUUCAUCAGGAGUCCCUGCAGUCUCUCGCUUGUUCAGAUGAGCAGAUUGAUACCUGACCAGCUGAGAGGACCAACUUCAAUCUGCAGUCACCAACUUUGUUCUUAAAUCAAUCAAUCUUUAUUUGUAAAGCGCCAAAUCACAACAAACAGUAUCUCAAGACGCUUUAACAAACAGAGCAGGUCUAGACCGUACUGUUAAAUAAUUUACAAAGAUCCAACAUCAAGACAGGAUCAGAUCCAGUCUCACCCACAGGACUCAGUCUGAUCUCAUCUUAAUCCACCAUGAGCAGAGCACUUUGCAGCAUUUAGCAGGUUACAGCAGCAAGGACAAACUUCCUUUUAACAGGCAGAAAACUCCAGCAGGACCAGACUCAUGCUAGACAGACAUCUGCCUUGACUGAAUUGGGUUGGAAAGAGGGAUAAUGACCAGGUCUCUGUUAAUGUGACCAACAUGGUUUGACAAAAUGUGGAAAGAUUAUAAUGUGCUUUGUAGCCUUUUUUGUAAGGUCAGUAAAAUGCUUGAAUUUUAAUAAACUUCUGAAAUACUA